UAGCAACUUUCAGCAGUGGAUGUCUAGGCUCGCACAUCGAUGAAGAACGCUGCGAACUGCGAUACGUAAUGCGAAUUGCAGGAUUCAGUGAGUCAUCGAAAUUUUGAACGCAUAUUGCACUUCCGGGUUAGUCCUGGA
rnacentral:rRNA from 2 species